UACAGAGGGUGCGAGCGUUAAUCGGAAUUACUGGGCGUAAAGCGCACGUAGGUGGCGACGUAAGUCGGGUGUGAAAGCCCCGGGCUCAACCUGGGAAUUGCAUUCGAGACUGCAUUGCUGGAGUACGGAAGAGGAGGGCGGAAUUCCCGGUGUAGCGGUGAAAUGCGUAGAUAUGCGGAGGAACACCGAUGGCGAAGGCAGUCCCCUGGGCCUGUACUGACGCUCAUGCACGAAAGCGUGGGGAGCAAACAGG
rnacentral:rRNA from 1 species